GAUGAACGCUGGCGGCGUGCCUAAUACAUGCAAGUCGAGCGAACAGACGAGGAGCUUGCUCCUCUGACGUUAGCGGCGGACGGGUGAGUAACACGUGGAUAACCUACCUAUAAGACUGGGAUAACUUCGGGAAACCGGAGCUAAUACCGGAUCAUAUAUUGAACCGCAUGGUUCAAUAGUGAAUGACGGUUUUGCUGUCACUUAUAGAUGGAUCCGCGCCGCAUUAGCUAGUUGGUAAGGUAACGGCUUACCAAGGCAACGAUGCGUAGCCGACCUGAGAGGAUGAUCGGCCACACUGGAACUGAGACACGGUCCAGACUCCUACGGGAGGCAGCAGUAGGGAAUCUUCCGCAAUGGGCGAAAGCCUGACGGAGCAACGCCGCGUGAGUGAUGAAGGUCUUCGGAUCGUAAAACUCUGUUAUUAGGGAAGAACAAAUGUGUAAGUAACUAUGCACGUCUUGACGGUACCUAAUCAGAAAGCCACGGCUAACUACGUG
rnacentral:rRNA from 1 species